GAUGAACGCUGGCGGCGUGCCUAAUACAUGCAAGUCGAGCGAACAGACGAGGAGCUUGCUCCUCUGACGUUAGCGGCGGACGGGUGAGUAACACGUGGAUAACCUACCUAUAAGACUGGGAUAACUUCGGGAAACCGGAGCUAAUACCGGAUAAUAUAUUGAACCGCAUAGUUCAAUAGUGAAAGACGGUUUUGCUGUCACUUAUAGAUGGAUCCGCGCCGCAUUAGCUAGUUGGUAAGGUAACGGCUUAUCAAGGCAACGAUGCGUAGCCGACCUGAGAGGGUGAUCGGCCACCCUGAACCUGAGACUCGUUCCAGACUCCUACGGGAGGCAGCAGUAGGGAAUCUUCAGCAAUGGGCGAAAGACUGACGGAGCAACGCCGCGUGAGUGAUAAAGGUCUUCGGAUCGUAAAACCCUGUUAUUAGGGAAGAACAAAUGUGUAAGUAACUAUGCACGUCUUGACGGUAACUAAUCAGAAAGCCACGGCUAACUACGUG
rnacentral:rRNA from 1 species